rnacentral:tRNA from 1 species
GCCUGGGUGGCUCAGUCGGUUAAGCACCUGACUUCAGCUCAGGUCAUGAUCUCAGGGUGCUGGGAUCGAGUCCCGCAUCGGGCU